GUUGGUGAACCAGCGGAGGGAUCAUUAGAGGGUCGCGAGACCUCCCUAAUACCUUCAACCAACCCGCGUACCUACCCGAGGGGGCCGCUCAGCGGCCACAACAAAUGAUGCCUCGGUCGGCGGUCCCAGGGGGGACCUCUGCCCGGCGCCCUCCGGUCACACGGGGGGCCCGGGUGCCGGCCGGCGACCCAAAAAAACAAACCUGACGUAUUAAUAUAUAUUCUUUUACAAAUGAGAAAUCAUUACAACCUGCAAUGAUGGAUCUCUUGGCUCUG
rnacentral:misc_RNA from 1 species